AACGAACGCUGGCGGCAUGCCUAACACAUGCAAGUCGAACGAAGUCUUCGGACUUAGUGGCGCACGGGUGCGUAACGCGUGGGAAUCUGCCCUUGGGUGCGGAAUAACUUCUCGAAAGGGAUGCUAAUACCGCAUAAUGUCGUAAGACCAAAGAUUUAUCGCCCAGGGAUGAGCCCGCGUAGGAUUAGCUAGUUGGUGAGGUAAAGGCUCACCAAGGCGACGAUCCUUAGCUGGUCUGAGAGGAUGAUCAGCCACACUGAGACUGAGACACGGCCCAGACUCCUACGGGAGGCAGCAGUGGGGAAUAUUGGACAAUGGGCGAAAGCCUGAUCCAGCAAUGCCGCGUGAGUGAUGAAGGCCUUAGGGUUGUAAAGCUCUUUACCCGGGAUGAUAAUGACAGUACCGGGAGAAGUAAGCCCCGGCUAACUCCGUGCCAGCAGCCGCGGUAAU
rnacentral:rRNA from 1 species